rnacentral:rRNA from 1 species
CAGUCGCCACGGUAAUACGAAGGGGGCUAGCGUUGCUCGGAAUUACUGGGCGUAAAGGGCGCGUAGGCGGAUAGUUUAGUCAGAGGUGAAAGCCCAGGGCUCAACCUUGGAACUGCCUUUGAUACUGGUUAUCUUGAGUAUGGGAGAGGUGUGUGGAACUCCGAGUGUAGAGGUGAAAUUCGUAGAUAUUCGGAAGAACACCAGCGGCGAAGGCGACACACUGGCCCAUUACUGACGCUGAGGCGCGAAAGCGUAGGGAGCAAACAGGAUUAGAGACCCCGGUAGUCCCUGUCUCUUAUAU